rnacentral:rRNA from 1 species
GACGAACGCUGGCGGCGUGCUUAACACAUGCAAGUCGAACGGAAAGGCCCUGCUUUUGUGGGGUGCUCGAGUGGCGAACGGGUGAGUAACACGUGAGUAACCUGCCCUUGACUGUGGGAUAACUUCAGGAAACUCGGGCUAAUACCGGAUAGGAGCUCCUGCUGCACGGGGGGGGUGGGAGAGUUUCGGCGGUUGGGGAUGGACUCGCGGCUUAUCAGCUUGUUGGUGGGGUAGUGUCUUACCAAGGCAUUGACGGGUAGCCGGCCUGGGAGGGUGACCGGCCACAUUGGGACUGGGAUACGGCCCGUACUCCUACGGGAGGCAGAAGUGGGGAAUAUUGCACAAUGGGCGGAGGCCUGAUGCAGCAACGCCGCGUGCGGGAUGACGGCCUUCGGGUUGUAAACCGCUUUCGCCUGUGACGAAGCGUGAGUGACGGUAAUGGGUAAAGAAGCACCGGCUAACUACGUG